rnacentral:rRNA from 1 species
CCUACGGGCGGCAGCAGUGAGGAAUAUUGGUCAAUGGGCGGAAGCCUGAACCAGCCAAGUAGCGUGCGGGAUGAAGGUCCUAUGGGUUGUAAACCGCUUUUGCCCGGGGACAACACACUCCACUCGUGGAGUUCCGCACGUACCGUGCGAAUAAGGGCCGGCUAACUCCGUGCCAGCAGCCGCGGUAAUACGGAAGGCCCGAGCGUUAUCCGGCUUCAUUGGGCUUAAAGGGAGCGCAGGCGGGCGUUCAAGUCAGCGGUAAAAUCGCGCGGCUCAACCGCGCCCCGCCGUUGAAACUGGACGCCUUGAGUGCACAACAGGCAGGCGGAAUUCGUGGUGUAGCGGUGAAAUGCAUAGAUAUCACGAAGAACCCCGAUUGCGAAGGCAGCCUGCCGGGGUGCGACUGACGCUGAGGCUCGAAGGUGCGGGUAUCAAACAGGAUUAGAUACCCUGGUAGUC